GAUGAACGCUGGCGGCGUGCCUAAUACAUGCCGGUCGAGCGAACAGACGAGGAGCUUGCUCCUCUGACGUUAGCGGCGGACGGGUGAGUAACACGUGGAUAACCUACCUAUAAGACUGGGAUAACUUCGGGAAACCGGAGCUAAUACCGGAUAAUAUAUUGAACCGCAUGGUUCAAUAGUGAAAGACGGUUUUGCUGUCACUUAUAGAUGGAUCCGCGCCGCAUUAGCUAGUUGGUAAGGUAACGGCUUACCAAGGCAACGAUGCGUAGCCGACCUGAGAGGGUGAUCGGCCACACUGGAACUGAGACACGGUCCAGACUCCUACGGGAGGCAGCAGUAGGGAAUCUUCCGCAAUGGGCGAAAGCCUGACGGAGCAACGCCGCGUGAGUGAUGAAGGUCUUCGGAUCGUAAAACUCUGUUAUUAGGGAAGAACAAAUGUGUAAGUAACUAUGCACGUCUUGACGGUACCUAAUCAGAAAGCCACGGCUAACUACGU
rnacentral:rRNA from 1 species